CGAAGUAGCUGAUUUCACACUGUCAAGAAAAGUCUCUAUCGAGGUUAAAGGUACCCGUACCGCAAACCGACACAGGUGGGUGAGGAGAGUAUCCUAAGGCCAGCGAGAGAACUGUUGUUAAGGAACUCGGCAAAAUGACCCCGUAACUUAGGGAUAAGGGGUGCCACCAUCAGGUGGCCGCAGAGAAUAGGCCCAAGCGACUGUUUACCAAAAACAUAGGUUUCUGCUAAGUCGCAAGACGAUGUAUAGGAGCUGACGCCUGCCCGGUGCUGGAAGGUUAAGGGGAUCUGUUAGAGCAAUCGAAGCAGUGAACUUAAGCCCCAGUAAACGGCGGCCGUAACUAUAACGGUCCUAAGGUAGCGAAAUUCCUUGUCGGGUAAGUUCCGACCCGCACGAAAGGCGUAACGAUUUGGGCACUGUCUCAACAACAGACUCGGUGAAAUUGUAAUUCCGGUGAAGAUGCCGGAUACCUGCGACAGGACGGAAAGACCCCAUGGAGCUUUACUGUAGCUUGACAUUGGGUCUUGGUACUACAUGUACAGGAUAGGUGGGAGGCUUUGAAACCAGGACGCCAGUUUUGGCGGAGCCAUCCUUGGGAUACCACCCUUGUA
rnacentral:rRNA from 1 species